GUGUCAGCAGCCGCGGUAACACGGGGGGAGCAAGCGUUGUUCGGAUUCAUUGGGCGUAAAGAGCUCGUAGGCGGCUCUGUAAGUCGGAAGUUAAAUCCCAUGGCUCAACCAUGGACAAGCUUUCGAAACUGCGGAGCUUGAGGCUGGGAGAGGAGAUCGGAAUUCCUGGUGUAGCGGUGAAAUGCGUAGAUAUCAGGAGGAACACCGGUGGCGAAGGCGGAUCUCUGGACCAGUUCUGACGCUCAGGAGCGAAAGCUAGGGGAGCAAACAGGAUUAGAUACCCGCGUAGUCC
rnacentral:rRNA from 1 species